rnacentral:lncRNA from 1 species
UGCAAUUCUUCGUUUUCAUUUUUUAUGCUCCUCCGUAUUACAGGAAAAAGAGAAGAUGAAUUUUCAGCUUCUUUCUCAAUUGAUGGCACAGCAUAGCAGAUUUCAUUAAGCUCCUGGGGAGUAUUUAUAGUUUGAAAGAAGACUAAACGGAGAAAGCAACACUGCGCGGGAAGGCACGGACGGCUGGGUGAGGAGCCGCAGGCCCUGGGGGGACGUCGAUCAGGAUUGAUCCCCUCGCAGCACCCUCCGACACUCUUGCCCUGGAACGGCCUUUGGGAUACAUGCGGAACGUCAGUCCUGUCAGGGAUAUCGUCAAAAGCCAAAUCAAUGAAAAAGGAAAGAUGCCUGUUACUUCACUAAAAAAUUAUAAGACACUGUCCUACUCAUUUUUUCAUUUAUUUAACAAUUAAUUAUUGGGUGGUUGCUAUGUACUAGAGUUAUACCAUCUUUAAUUUUGGGCUCAAUGAAUUGUGCUAAUUUUGGAAAUUAAAACAUAUAAUUCAAAGCAAACAAAAUAAAAAAAUUAAUAAU